rnacentral:rRNA from 1 species
AGCAGUAGCCGCGGUAAUACGGAGGGUGCAAGCGUUAAUCGGAAUUACUGGGCGUAAAGCGUGCGUAGGCGGUUCGUUAAGUCUGUUGUGAAAGCCCCGGGCCCAACCUGGGAAUGGCAAUGGAUACUGGCGAGCUAGAGUGUGUCAGAGGAUGGUGGAAUUCCCGGUGUAGCGGUGAAAUGCGUAGAGAUCGGGAGGAACAUCAGUGGCGAAGGCGGCCAUCUGGGACAACACUGACGCUGAGGCACGAAAGCGUGGGGAGCAAACAGGAUUAGAUACCCGUGUAGUCCCUGUCUCUUAUAC